rnacentral:rRNA from 1 species
UGAGGAAUAUUGGUCAAUGGCCGGAAGGCUGAACCAGCCAAGCCGCGUGAAGGACGAAGGUGCCAAGCAUUGUAAACUUCUUUUGUCAAGGGACAAAAUCAGGCUCGAGAGCCUGACCGAGGGUACUUGAAGAAAAGCAUCGGCUAACUCCGUGCC